rnacentral:rRNA from 1 species
UACGUAGGGUGCAAGCGUUAAUCGGAAUUACUGGGCGUAAAGCGUGCGCAGGCGGUUUUGUAAGUCUGACGUGAAAUCCCCGGGCUUAACCUGGGAAUUGCGUUGGAGACUGCAAGGCUGGAGUCUGGCAGAGGGGGGUAGAAUUCCACGUGUAGCAGUGAAAUGCGUAGAGAUGUGGAGGAACACCGAUGGCGAAGGCGCCUGCUGGGACAGUGCUGACGCUGGAAGCGCGACAGCGUGGGGAGCAAACAGG